ncrna:unclassified sequences DTF3268 RNA
GGCAGGGGCUUGCACCCAGGCUUUCGAUCCGCCGGAAGGGCUCCCGGCGUUUGACGCACCCGGGUGGGUAGCGGAAUCGUUACGGACUUAGCGUUGUUAUAGCGGUCCCUCAAUGGUGCAAGCC